GACGUAGGGUGCGAGCGUUGUCCGGAUUUAUUGGGCGUAAAGAGCUCGUAGGCGGCUCGUCGCGUCGACCGUGAAAACCCGCAGCUUAACUGCGGGCCUGCGGUUGAUACGGGCGGGCUAGAGUUCGGUAGGGGAGACUGGAAUUCCUGGUGUAGCGGUGAAAUGCGCAGAUAUCAGGAGGAACACCGGUGGCGAAGGCGGGUCUCUGGGCCGAUACUGACGCUGAGGAGCGAAAGCUAGGGGGAGCGAACGGG
rnacentral:rRNA from 1 species